AUACGUAGGGUGCGAGCGUUAAUCGGAAUUACUGGGCGUAAAGCGUGCGCAGGCGGUUUCGUAAGACAGAUGUGAAAUCCCCGGGCUUAACCUGGGAACUGCGUUUGUGACUGCGAGACUUGAGUGCGGCAGAGGGGGGUGGAAUUCCACGUGUAGCAGUGAAAUGCGUAGAGAUGUGGAGGAACACCGAUGGCGAAGGCAGCCCCCUGGGUUAACACUGACGCUCAUGCACGAAAGCGUGGGUAGC
rnacentral:rRNA from 1 species